ACUUCUAGAAGCAUUUCAGGUGUAGCUGCUGGGUCACAUCGCAUCAGGCAGAGAGGACAGAGACCAUGUCUACACUCAGUGUUCUGACCUAUGGACAUCUGCGUGAUUAGUAGCCUCACAUU
rnacentral:snoRNA from 1 species